AGAGUGAACGCUGGCGGUAGGCCUAACACAUGCAAGUCGAACGGCAGCACGGUAAGAGCUUGCUCUUAUGGGUGGCGAGUGGCGGACGGGUGAGGAAUACAUCGGAAUCUACCUUUUGGUGGGGGAUAACGUAGGGAAACUUACGCUAAUACCGCAUACGCCCUUCGGGGGAAAGCCGGGGACCAGCAAUGGCCUGGCGCUGAUAGAUGAGCCGAUGUCGGAUUAGCUAGUUGGUGAGGUAAUGGCUCACCAAGGCGACGAUCCGUAGCUGGUCUGAGAGGAUGAUCAGCCACACUGGAACUGAGACACGGUCCAGACCUCCUACGGGGAGCAGCGAGGUGGGGGAAUAGUUAGGACAAGU
rnacentral:rRNA from 1 species